rnacentral:misc_RNA from 1 species
UGAAGGAAGAAUUUUGGUUGCAAUUGGUCAUGUCCAAGAUGGAAUUGAGUCAUGAUAAGGAGUAGGGUUAUGACUAUGGAGAGGCAUACAUACUUCAUCAUUCUUCUCCUAAAUUGGAGUGUUCAAUUUGAAAUGAUGAGAAACAAACUUGGGAGAAUCCGAGGAAUCAAUAGAGAACAUACCAAAGAUCAGAUGCUCUUGUUCUUGAUUAAACAACCACAUAAUCAAUAAGAUCAACAAUUUACAUUUAAUGUGAAAUAGUG